rnacentral:ncRNA from 1 species
GGCUUGGUCCUGACUUUCUAUAAGCUUUAGCCCAACUUAUACAUGCAAGUCUCCGCACCCCUGUGAGAAUGCCCUCAAUCCCCCAGCCGGGGAAGAGGAGCCGGCAUCAGGCGCACUAAGUAGCCCAAGACGCCUUGCUAAGCCACACCCCCAAGGGAAUUCAGCAGUAAUAAACAUUAAGCCAUAAGUGAAAACUUGACUUAAUUAGGGCUAAAAGGGCCGGUAAAAUCCGUGCCAGCCACCGCGGUUAUACGAAAGACCCCAGUUUAUAGGUACGGCGUAAAGGGUGGUUAAGAGAAAAUCAAAAUAAGGCCAAAGAUCCCCUAAGCAGUCAUACGCUCCACGAGGACACGAAACCCAAAUACGAAAGUUGCCUUAAUAAACUUCACCUGACCCCACGAAAGCUGAAAAACAAACUGGGAUUAGAUACCCCACUAUGUUCAGCCUUAAACCCAGAUAAAAAAUUACAAAAUUAUCCGCCAGGGGACUACAAGCACAGCUUAAAACCCAAAGGACUUGGCGGUGCCUCAGAUCCACCUAGAGGAGCCUGUUCUAGAACCGAUAACCCCCGUUAAACCUCACCACCCCUUGCCUUUCCCGCCUAUAUACCGCCGUCGUCAGCUUACCCUGUGAAGGCUUCAAUAGUAAGCAAAAUGAGUUCAACCCAAAACGUCAGGUCGAGGUGUAGCGCACGAGGUGGGAAGAAAUGGGCUACAUUUUCUACUACAGAACACCACGGAUAGUGCCCUGAAAAUAGCAUCUGAAGGAGGAUUUAGCAGUAAAAAGUAAAUAGAGUGUACUUUUGAAUUAGGCUCUGAGGCGCGCACACACCGCCCGUCACUCUCCCCACCACCACAUAAUAACUAUUCCUAAUACUUGAAUAAAGACACGGGGAGGCAAGUCGUAACAUGGUAAGUGUACCGGAAGGUGCACUUGGAACAAUC